CCUACGGGAGGCAGCAGUGAGGAAUAUUGGUCAAUGGGCGCGAGCCUGAACCAGCCAAGUAGCGUGAAGGAUGAAUGCCCUACGGGUUGUAAACUUCUUUUAUAAAGGAAUAAAGUGAGGCACGUGUGCCUUUUUGUAUGUACUUUAUGAAUAAGGAUCGGCUAACUCCGUGCCAGCAGCCGCGGUAAUACGGAGGAUCCGAGCGUUAUCCGGAUUUAUUGGGUUUAAAGGGAGCGUAGAUGGGUUGUUAAGUCAGUUGUGAAAGUUUGCGGCUCAACCGUAAAAUUGCAAUUGAUAAUGGCCGCCUUGAGUACAGUUGAGGUAAGUGGAAUUCGUGGUGUAGCGGGGAAAUUCUUAGAUAU
rnacentral:rRNA from 1 species